CAGAAAUCCCUUCAGUCAGAAAAGAUAUUUCCUGGAGAGCAGUUGAUAUCAAUGGGCUACAGGCAGCUGCUGAACAGCACAUCUCCUCCAAAACAAGGGAAUGUAUCCCCUUUGGAUUCUGCUUAAGGAGUUCCUGCUGUGUUUUGCUAACUGUACAGUGAGCCCAUUAAACUGAUGUGUGCUCCCAAGCUACGCCCCAGAGCUUCAGGGGGGAUAGGGACUAAGGAGAUCAUUUGGCAUAAGAGUGUUCUUGCUCUCUGCCAGGCUUUUCCCAGGUAACAACUCGGUCAGCACUGCUGCCCUGCUACCACAGUGAUCUGGCUCUGAGUUCACCUCUCCUCAACAUCCUUCAGUAGAGAAGGCCUGGCUUCUUCAAAUCUUCCUCAUCCAAAAGAAGAUGUGAUGUGUCCCUAGAACAUGCAGAGGCAAGACUUUUUCCCAGCAAGGUGUGAUGGCUCAAAUUGACCAGACAAUUUCUCUCUGUUGGAGGACAAUGUGUGAAUGAGGAGCAACCCAAACCCAUUGGAUGAGAAACUUUUCACACUGAUCCUAUGCUUUGGAAACACUGCAAGUUAUUUUUUGGGCACCACAGCAUUUGUUGUCGGUGAACUGCCUCUCUUGCAGAAGGGAAGAAGUUUGGAGCUCUAAACCAUGCUAUAAGCUGCUGGACUUCCAAAUCUGCUUGGCUUCUUGAUGUACAUUUGGGACCAUGGAAGUUCUGGGAGCCCCAGUUCAGCACUGCAGAGAGGAAUGUCAGUAUAAUAUGGUCCAUCGUAACAACAGUGAGCGACCAAGUUUUCAAGUUUGCAAGAAGCUUUCAACACUAAGUCAAAACUCAUCCUGUCCUCAUCCCAUGGCCCCAAGGUGCAAACUGCACCUUCUUGCAGCACAGCUCUGUCCUGCACCUCCACCAUGCCAUGGGGAACCAUCCAGAGACCUCCCAGCUGGCUGAGACCAGGCAGGGCAAGGGUAGAGGUAAGUCAGACAUUACCCCAACAUGCCAUUAGUCUCCUCCAAAGAGAGUCUAUUGAA
rnacentral:lncRNA from 1 species